rnacentral:lncRNA from 1 species
UUAUAUUUAUAUUGAAAUGAGUAUAAUUUUUGUAAAUGUAAAUAAUUUUUUGAAUAAUUUAAUUAGUAUACAUUGACGUUUUAAAAAAGAAUACACAAAAUUGGUAAAAAAAAAAAUGGCACACAAACAAUUAAUCAUGUCUUAGUAUUAUUGAUAUUAUGAAAAGUUCACAUCAAAACUCAUGUAUUCUCUUUACGAGGAGUGCUAGC